rnacentral:rRNA from 1 species
AGAGUUUGAUCAUGGCUCAGAACGAACGCUGGCGGCGUGGAUAAGACAUGCAAGUCGAGCGGAACAUUUUGAGUAGCAAUAUUCGGAAUGUUUAGCGGCGAAAGGGUGCGUAACACGUAGCUCACCUACCUCAAAGUGGGGGAUAGCUCGGCGAAAGCCGAAUUAAUACCGCAUGUGGUCGCAAGACCAAAGCUGGGGAUCGUAAGACCUGGCGCUUUGAGAUGGGGCUGCGGCCUAUCAGCUAGUUGGCGGGGUAACGGCCCACCAAGGCUUAGACGGGUAGCUGGUCUGAGAGGACGACCAGCCACACUGGAACUGAGACACGGUCCAGACACCUACGGGUGGCAGCAGUCGAGGAUUUUUCUCAAUGGGGGAAACCCUGAAGGAGCGACGCCGCGUGGGGGAUGAAGGUCUUCGGAUUGUAAACCCCUGUCAUCUGGGAACAAUGAUUACGACCUAACACGUCGUAAUUUGAUAGUACCGGAAGAGGAAGCCGUGGCUAACUCUGUGCCAGCAGCCGCGGUAAUACAGAGACGGCAAGCGUUGUUCGGAUUCAUUGGGCGUAAAGGGUGCGCAGGCGGUCCGUUAAGUCGGAUGUGAAAUCUCAUAGCUUAACUAUGAUAGGUCAUUCGAAACUGGCGGACUCGAGGACUGGAGAGGAGACUGGAAUGGUCGGUGUAGCGGUGAAAUGCGUAGAGAUCGACCAGAACACCGGUGGCGAAGGCGGGUCUCUGGACAGUUCCUGACGCUCAGGCACGAAAGCCAGGGGAGCAAACGGGAUUAGAUACCCCGGUAGUCCUGGCCCUAAACGGUGUUCACUUGGUGUGCGGGGAGUCGACCCCCUGCGUGCCGAAGCCAACGCGUUAAGUGAACCGCCUGGGAAGUACGACCGCAAGGUUAAAACUCAAAGGAAUUGACGG